AAAUUGAAGAGUUUGAUCAUGGCUCAGAUUGAACGCUGGCGGCAGGCCUAACACAUGCAAGUCGAACGGUAACAGGAAGCAGCUUGCUGCUUUGCUGAUGAGUGGCGGACGGGUGAGUAAUGUCUGGGAAACUGCCUGAUGGAGGGGGAUAACUACUGGAAACGGUGGCUAAUACCGCAUAACGUCGCAAGACCAAAGAGGGGGACCUUCGGGCCUCUUGCCAUCAGAUGUGCCCAGAUGGGAUUAGCUUGUUGGUGAGGUAACGGCUCACCAAGGCGACGAUCCCUAGCUGGUCUGAGAGGAUGACCAGCCACACUGGAACUGAGACACGGUCCAGACUCCUACGGGAGGCAGCAGUGGGGAAUAUUGCACAAUGGGCGCAAGCCUGAUGCAGCCAUGCCGCGUGUAUGAAGAAGGCCUUCGGGUUGUAAAGUACUUUCAGCGGGGAGGAAGGUGUUGUGGUUAAUAACCACAGCAAUUGACGUUACCCGCAGAAGAAGCACCGGCUAACUCCGUGCCAGCAGCCGCGGUAAUACGGAGGGUGCAAGCGUUAAUCGGAAUUACUGGGCGUAAAGCGCACGCAGGCGGUCUGUCAAGUCGGAUGUGAAAUCCCCGGGCUCAACCUGGGAACUGCAUUCGAAACUGGCAGGCUUGAGUCUUGUAGAGGGGGGUAGAAUUCCAGGUGUAGCGGUGAAAUGCGUAGAGAUCUGGAGGAAUACCGGUGGCGAAGGCGGCCCCCUGGACAAAGACUGACGCUCAGGUGCGAAAGCGUGGGGAGCAAACAGGAUUAGAUACCCUGGUAGUCCACGCCGUAAACGAUGUCUACUUGGAGGUUGUGCCCUUGAGGCGUGGCUUCCGGAGCUAACGCGUUAAGUAGACCGCCUGGGGAGUACGGCCGCAAGGUUAAAACUCAAAUGAAUUGACGGGGGCCCGCACAAGCGGUGGAGCAUGUGGUUUAAUUCGAUGCAACGCGAAGAACCUUACCUGGUCUUGACAUCCACGGAAGAAUUCAGAGAUGGAUUUGUGCCUUCGGGAACCGUG
rnacentral:rRNA from 1 species